GUGGGAAUCUGCCCUUCGGUUGGGAAUAACACAGAGAAAUUUGUGCUAAUACCUUAUAAUGUCUUCGGACCAAAGAUUUAUCGCCGAGGGAUGAGCCCGCGUAGGAUUAGGUAGUUGGUGGGGUAAUGGCCUACCAAGCCGACGAUCCUUAGCUGGUCUGAGAGGAUGAUCAGCCACACUGGGACUGAGACACGGCCCAGACUCCUACGGGAGGCAGCAGUGGGGAAUAUUGGACAAUGGGCGAAAGCCUGAUCCAGCAAUGCCGCGUGAGUGAUGAAGGCCUUAGGGUUGUAAAGCUCUUUUACCAGGGAUGAUAAUGACAGUACCUGGAGAAUAAGCUCCGGCUAACUCCGUGCCAGCAGCCGCGGUAAUACGGAGGGAGCUAGCGUUGUUCGGAAUUACUGGGCGUAAAGCGCGCGUAGGCGGUUACUCAAGUCAGAGGUGAAAGCCCGGGGCUCAACCCCGGAACUGCCUUUGAAACUAGGUAACUAGAAUCUUGGAGAGGUCAGUGGAAUUCCGAGUGUAGAGGUGAAUUCGUAGAUAUUCGGAAGACACCAGUGGCGAAGGCGACUGACUG
rnacentral:rRNA from 1 species